GCUCUCGAUCCGCCGCUCGCGUCGCGGCGUCGCGGCGUCGGCGGAAGGCGGCGUUGCGGAGAUGUCAAGAGCAGCAGAGGGCAUGCUGCUGCGCACCACUUGAUCGGCCUGUCGGUGGAUCCAGAGGCCAAUGCUUGGCGCCGCAGCGACAUUGGCAGGUGAGACUGUGAGAAGCAAGCAGUGCACUGUCCUUGCGCGGGGCAGGAGGGCGCUCCAUGGCAUGGCCACGCCCCCGGCCGCCGUUCGCGCCCUCAUCGCCGCCGCGACCACCUUCCGGAACCUCCGGCAGAUCCACGGCCACCUCCUCACCUCCGGCCGCGUUGACUCCCUCGGUCCCGCCCUCCUCCGCCGCAUCAUUUCGCUGCCCUCCCCGCACCUCCACCUCCCCUUCGCUCACCGGCUCCUCCUCUCCGUACCAUCCCCGCCGCUCGACCUCUUCAACCUCCUCCUGCCCCCCAUCGCAUCCUCGACCGACCCAUCCGCCGGGGCCUGCCUCUUCGUCCGCCUCCGCCGCGGCGGCCUGCGCCCCGACUCGCACACGCUCCCGCACGUCCUCAAGGCUCUCGCGCGCCUCGCGCCGGCCUCCCUCCCGCUCGUCGCCUGCACCCACGUGGAGGCCAUCAAGAGCGGCCUCGCGCACGCCGUGGUGUACGUACCGAACGCCCUCAUGGCCGCGUACUCUGCCUGCGGCCACCUCGGGCGCGCCAUGCAGGUGUUCGACGAAAUGACACGCCGGACUGUGGUGUCGUGGAACACUGCUCUCACCGCCUGCGCGGACAACGACCGCCACAACCGGUGCGCCGGGAUGUUUACAGAGAUGGUGGAGGCUGGAUUCGAGCCUGAUCAUGCAACGUUCGUGGUCAUGCUCUCCGCUGCUGCCGAGCUGGGGAACUUGGCGCUCGGCAAGUGGGCGCACGGGCAGGUCGUUGCCCGGAGACUUGACAUGACGCUUCAGCUUGGCACCGCGACAGUGAAUAUGUAUGCCAAGUGUGGCGCAGUAAGUUAUGCGUCCCGCUUGUUUGGGAGGAUGAAAAUAAGAAAUGUCUGGACAUGGAGUGCGAUGAUCGUGGGGUUUUCGCAGAAUGGGAUGGCACAGGAGGCGCUAGAGCUGUUUUAUAAGAUGAAGGAUGCAUCUAUCAUCCCCAACUAUGUCACGUUCCUUGGGCUGCUUUGUGCAUGCAGUCAUGCUGGGCUGGUUGACGAGGGCCGCCAAUUCUUCCAUGAAAUGCAGCAUGUCUAUGGAAUCAAGCCGAUGAUGACACACUACAGUGCCAUGGUGGAUAUCCUGGGACGCAGUGGCCGCCUCCAGGAAGCGUAUGACUUUGUUAUGGACAUGCCAGUCAAGCCUGACCCAGUUGUCUGGAGGACAUUGCUGAGCGCCUGCCAGCUUCACAGCUCCAAGGACUGCAUAGACAUUGUUGACAAGGUGCAGAAGAGGCUGCUGGAGCUGGAGCCCCGAAGAAGCGGGAAUUACGUGAUGGUUGCAAACAUAUACUCUGACAUUGGGUCAUGGGAUAAGGCGGCCAUGACAAGGAGGGUGAUGAGGGAAGGGAGGAUGAAAAAGAUGGCAGGGGAGAGCUGCAUUGAGAUCGGGGGGCAGAUUCAGCGGUUCAUCUCCGGGGAUGAUUCUUGCCCUGGAUUUGACGGUGCGUCCAGGAUUCUUCAUGAGCUGAACAACAUCAUGAGAAAAUGGGAACCUGUGGACAAAAUUUUGCUUGCUGAUGCUGACAUUUGAGGACAGUGUAUGUCGAGCAAACCGUUUAGUAUCACAGGCAAUAUCUAGGGACACAAGAUGAUUGCUACGUAAAGUAUGUCCAUUGUACAAUGAUGCUGCAAUGAGAAAGGAGAUGUAACAUGUGAAAUGUCAUGAGCCUUAUGAAUAUGGGUACACUGGACCUCCCGGAGCUCAUCCUGAUGAAACUACUAUUGAUAUGAGUUCUUUGUGAUUCAUAGUGGUGACUGGACCAUUACUGGUACUGGAUUUGACUUGCGUGAUCCAAGGGUCCUUGCAGUGUCACAAAACCAUAUCAUGGUAGCUGAAUAUGAGGAUUAUUUUGCCACGAAUGCCUGCACUGCUGCCUUUUGCCGCUCUUGUUGUGAGUAACUACAGAUCAGAUGUAUUUAUAUUGUUGCUACUUAAAUCAACAGGGCUUUCUUUAAUAUGUAACAUCAUGUAUGCCUCUUCAUGCUCAGUUAAUGGAUCUUUUAGUCUUGAGACACGCUCUGAUGAUACUUCUGCUAUGUUUUCAGUAAGGGAAGUAGAUAACCAUCUUGGAAAUAUUCUGUUAGCAUCCUAUGUAAGAAGUUGCCAUUAACACUUGGUAUUGGUGGUUUGCGAUUGACAGCCUUUUUCUAUUGCUUGCUGCUGGUUUCCUGCUACUAUUCUAGUAUUCCAAGUGAUGGUUUGGGUAAUCAGUAUCCUGCAGCACCAUAGACUGAGGCAGGACGCUGCUGCUCUAGCUGCAACGGUGGUGGCAUUCUUCCAGCGGUCGGGGCAAGAAGGGGAGUGCCUUUCACCAUCGAGAGCACCGGAUUCCCCUGCCAGGCUGCCACACCUCAGCACGAAGGCCGCAGCCUUGAUUGUAUGCCUGUGGCCGCAUUUGCAGCAGCCGCAUGUCGCUUAUCUGCAUGGGUUUAGCGAGGAUUUAUGGCUUCUGUCAAGUGCAGGACCAGAUGACUUUGUGCCUAAAUUUUUCGUCUAAUCAGUUGUACCAAUUGUAAAGAUGCGUGGGAUCCCGCCCAGCUAUGCUACGGAUUUCGCUAUUGCGUUGUGGGUGUCGUGUCGGCAGGGAGUAGCGAGGUGUCUAGAACAUUUUUAUUUUGAGAAAGAGAGGUGUCUAGAACUUGACACAUAUAUCUGGGUCAUGUGCUUCCCUAAGCCCCUAAUUGUCAAACGCAGAGCAUGUGCACAUGGAUAGUAACCCUAUAUCAUUAAACGAUCUGUUGCUCUAUUUUUUUU